CGUGCAUAGAUCGUAUUACAAGGGACUAUUUAUAAUCCCCAGGAACAAACUAAAGGCUGUGUGGGGGUUGGGGGUUUCGCUUUGUUUUUAAUCAGGCUCUCAUUUUUUUCCUUUGAAAUGGGAAAAUAAAAUGCAUCUUCUAGAAAUUUAUCUAUUUCUUACUUUUGGAUUCAGUCUUGUAUUUCAGAUCCCUGCAAAUAGUUUUCCGGAGUUUGAAAUGCUUUUAUGAUUGAAAAUGCACAUUUCUCAUGGGCACUCACAGAACUGAAACAGCAUGAUUUGCAAGCUCGCUAAAUGGAUUUCUUCCAAGCAAGUCAUUGGGGUAUGUCAUCAAAGCUUAGCAGCAUCAAAUAGAAUUCCAUCCAGGAAAAGUAUUAAAAACCCACCUCUACACAGCUCUAUUUUUCAGUUAAUUCUCAGCAGCGGAGGGAUGGGGGGGAGGAGGUCGUUAUUGGAUUUCAGGAUUGCAGAGUGGAAACCAAAACCCUGGCUUUAUAUUUUGGUUCAGCUGAAUUCCUGGUGAAGCUCACUGGAGUCUACCAUUAGGAAAGCACUGGGACCAGGGCGUUUGUUCACAGGUUGAACUCACAGUAUACGAAAGUGCAAAACUGAGAUGUCAGAAGUGUUUCUACUUGCUGAAGUCAUUUUCAGGCUUUGGUAAAAAUCUGGCAGCCUGGAGGUGAGGUGCUCAGAAACCAAUUUCUUUCUUCUGCUCUGAGUAAAAAGAGAUGCUGUGUG
rnacentral:lncRNA from 1 species